rnacentral:lncRNA from 1 species
CUUCAACAAUAAUAAAACAAGCUAAAAAAUUAAGGCAAAAGGUAAUCAUCAGACAUCAACUACAUUACAAGACAUACUAAGUCAACAAAAUGAAUCAAUAAAUCAAAAUAGUAAAAUGAACAGAAGAAACAUGCAACACAAUAGAAGCCUUCAUUCUCUUCCUCGAAAUAUUACAUGAGUCAGCAUAUAUAGUUUUGAAGCCAGAACAGGUACCUGAAUAUGGCAAGGUAAAAUUAGAAAUUGGAUUAUGGGUCUUGGAGAAAUAGCAAUAGCAGUAAACAACAGGAGCACUGACUCAGCAGAAUUCAACAAGAACCAAUCAAUAAACAACGUUUUUGAACAAUAAUUCCCAAUUAGCCUUGAAAAUUCUAGAUAUAACUCAUUCUAACUCAAGUUCAGCUUUCAAAACCAAAUCAAACUACCCAAGACUCCAUGUGAACCAGAAAAUGAUCCAGAAGUUUGAAUUCUAAAGAAUUAUGGAAAAGCAAUGGAGCAGUAACUCUAUUGCGAGUUCAAAAUUAUUUUCAACCCUCAAUGCAUUGCAGGUUAUUUCAACCAAACUUCAUAUUGAAAACCAAGAGGAAAUCAAUGGAAUAGUGUAAUGCAAUGAUGUUUCGAAUAUUGUUAAUUUUAAAAAAGCAGCCUAGCCUUUUCUGUAUUUUCUCUGGUUUUUAGCUCUUUUCCAAUCUUUGAUCCCUUUUUCUCUUCAAAUCUUG